rnacentral:lncRNA from 1 species
CAAAUAUUUCUGUGAUUCUAUGAUUCUGUGAUAUCUGGGAAGCAAUGAAUGCUGACUUCCAUCCCACACUCAGUGGAAGGGCUGGAACCCCGCUCUCGCAGCUCUCAUGUGGGCACUCAGCACAUCACUGCCCAGCAUGACAUUUUUCAGGAGCUAGCCCCUGGCCCUUUGCCUUUCCUUCCUGUCUCUUCUUUUACAUAUUCAGCUAAAGAGCUAUCUAUAAUUUUUGUCACUUUCAUUUCCAGUAUGUCACCAUGGAUUAUGAAAAGUAAGCCACCGUCCGCCCAUUUAAUGGAGUGCAUCACCGCGGAUAAUCGCUUUGGAAUGUAAAUCAGUUUACUGUUACCUGGUUACUGCUGGAACAUGCACAAAGCAGAGAGAAGAUGGCUCUAGCACACUGCAGACUUUCUUCAUAUACACUGAGAAAAGCUCUGUCCUUGAGCUUGAGCCAUUUGUCUGGCAGUGCUCAAUGGAAAACUACUGGAUGGAUAACAGUACAGGUUUGGCAGGCUUUGAUGAGUGCAGAUCAUCCCUGCAAGCAGAUCGAGGUAGAGGAAGAUCAGAGUGGAGACUUAGCUGGAUCAGGACAGCCUGCCAUCAACUUAAUCUGUCAUACAACCCGGGUCCUUGGAUGAAAGUACCUGACAGGUGCAGAGAGGACGUGCUGGAAGCAAAGACUGAAGACAGAAGAGAGUACUGUAUUGAUUCAUGGACCAUAACAGGAGAAACCAGUGGUCCAGAAAACCACAAAAGACCACCUGCAGUUAUCGCCACCCUCCUUCCUUAAAGAGGCUCAAAAGAACUAGUAACAGAAGCAGAAAUGCAUCCAGAGCUCUAGCUACUUUUUACAUUAUACUUUAAAUUGAAUAUGUUGCAGCAAUGACACAAAAUGGAGUUUCUGCCCUCCUUACUAGAAGGUUGAUAAACUGUAAAAAUAAAUUGAGAAGAGUAUGGCA